ACGGGAGGCAGCAGUAGGGAAUAUUGCACAAUGGGGGGAACCCUGAUGCAGCAACGCCACGUGUGGGAAGAAGCAUUUCGGUGUGUAAACCACUGUCGUGAGGGAAUAAUGCUUGGCUCCGGCCAGGUUAAAUGUACCUCGUAAGGAAGCACCGGCAAACUUCGUGCCAGCAGCCGCGGUAAUACGAGGGGUGCAAGCGUUGUUCGGAAUCACUGGGCGUAAAGGGAGCCUAGGCGGAGACGCAAGCAGUCUGUACAAUACCGGGGCCCAACCCCGGACCUGCAGACUGGACUGUGUCUCUUGGAUAGUUCAGGGGUAGGCGGAAUUCCUGAUGUAGCGGUGGAAUGCGUAGAGAUCAGGAAGAACACCGAUGGCGAAGGCAGCCUGCUGGGGACUCAUCGACGCUGAGGCUCGAAAGUGCGGGUAGCAAACAGGAUUAGAUACCCUGGUA
rnacentral:rRNA from 1 species